GACGAACGCUGGCGGCGUGCCUAACACAUGCAAGUCGAACGGGGUGAAUUCCUUCGGGGAGUUCACUUAGUGGCGAACGGGUGAGUAACGCGUGAGGAACCUGCCUUUCAGUGGGGGGACGAACAGUUGGAAACGAACUGCUAAUACCGCAUAAUGCAGCUAGACCGCAUGGUCUUACUGCCAAAGCUUUAUGUGCUGAAAGAUGGUCUCGCGUCUGAUUAGCUUGUUGGCGGGGUAACGGCCCACCAAGGCGACGAUCAGUAGCCGGUCUGAGAGGAUGAACGGCCACAUUUGGGACUGAGAUACGGCCCAGACUCCUACGGGAGGGCAGCAG
rnacentral:rRNA from 1 species